rnacentral:rRNA from 1 species
CAGUCGACGGUGAAGAGGAGCUUGCUCCUUGGAUCAGUGGCGAACGGGUGAGUAACACGUGAGCAAUCUGCCCUUGACUCUGGGAUAACUGCGGGAAACUGUAGCUAAUACCGGAUAUUACCUUGGAAGGCAUCUUCUGGGGUGGAAAGAAUUUUGGUCAAGGAUGAGCUCGCGGCCUAUCAGCUAGUUGGUGAGGUAAUGGCUCACCAAGGCAUCGAUCAGUAGCUGGUCUGAGAGGACGACCAGCCACACUGGAACUGAGACACGGUCCAGACUCCUACGGGAGGCAGCAGUGGGGAAUUUUGGACAAUGGGCGAAAGCCUGAUCCAGCAAUGCCGCGUGAGUGAAGAAGGCCUUCGGGUUGUAAAGCUCUUUUGUCAGGGAAGAAACGGUGCGGGCUAAUAUCCUGCACUAAUGACGGUACCUGAAGAAUAAGCACCGGCUAACUACGUGCCAGCAGCCGCGGUAAUACGUAGGGUGCAAGCGUUAAUCGGAAUUACUGGGCGUAAAGCGUGCGCAGGCGGUUUUGUAAGUCUGUCGUGAAAUUCCCGGGCUCAACCUGGGAAUUGCGAUGGAGACUGCAAGGCUAGAAUCUGGCAGAGGGGGGUAGAAUUCCACGUGUAGCAGUGAAAUGCGUAGAGAUGUGGAGGAACACCGAUGGCGAAGGCAGCCCCCUGGGUCAAGAUUGACGCUCAUGCACGGAAGCGUG